rnacentral:rRNA from 1 species
GGGGAAUAUUGCACAAUGGGCGAAAGCCUGAUGCAGCAACGCCGCGUGGAGGAAGAAGGCCUUCGGGUUGUAAACUCUUGUCUUCUGGGACGAUAAUGACGGUACCAGAGGAGGAAGCCACGGCUAACUACGUGCCAGCAGCCGCGGUAAUACGUAGGUGGCAAGCGUUGUCCGGAUUUACUGGGCGUAAAGGAUGCGUAGGCGGAUAUUUAAGUGGGAUGUGAAAUACCCGGGCUCAACCUGGGUGCUGCAUUCCAAACUGGGUAUCUAGAGUGCGGGAGAGGAGAGUGGAAUUCCUAGUGUAGCGGUGAAAUGCGUAGAGAUUAGGAAGAACACCAGUGGCGAAGGCGACUCUCUGGACCGUAACUGACGCUGAGGCAUGAAAGCGUGGGGAGCAAAC